GAUGAACGCUGGCGGCGUGCCCAAUACAUGCAAGUAGAACGCUGAAGCUUGGUGCUUGCACCGAGCGGAUGAGUUGCGAACGGGUGAGUAACGCGUAGGUAACCUGCCUCUUAGCGGGGGAUAACUAUUGGAAACGAUAGCUAAUACCGCAUAAAAGUCGAUAUCGCAUGAUAUUGAUUUGAAAGGUGCAAAUGCAUCACUAAGAGAUGGACCUGCGUUGUAUUAGCUAGUUGGUGAGGUAACGGCUCACCAAGGCGACGAUACAUAGCCGACCUGAGAGGGUGAUCGGCCACACUGGGACUGAGACACGGCCCAGACUCCUACGGGAGGCAGCAGUAGGGAAUCUUCGGCAAUGGGGGCAACCCUGACCGAGCAACGCCGCGUGAGUGAAGAAGGUUUUCGGAUCGUAAAGCUCUGUUGUAAGAGAAGAACGAGUGUGAGAGUGGAAAGUUCACACUGUGACGGUAACUUACCAGAAAGGGACGGCUAACUACGUG
rnacentral:rRNA from 1 species